AGGAGUGGCCUCAGUGAUUGAAGUGAGUGAAUUCAGCUAUAAUUGAAGCUGAAAAAUUUUCCAAAGAUGACUUAAAAUAACACUUGAAUUGGAGGGAGGAAGGAAAGCUAAUAUUAUUAGAGCACAACAUCUUAAAUUUUAAAGAAUUAUAUUUGAGAGGAAUAUAUACAAUAGACAGCUUGGAAGAGCGUUCUGGGAAGAAGCAAGAUUCACCUCUCUUCCAAUCUGAAACAUAAUAAAAAUGCCUUUCAUUUGUAUGGUUCUUCAGAGUUUAAACAUGGCUUUUAAGCACAUUUUUCUCUGAGGAAGCUCUUCCUUUGACAGCAUCUUCCUCAGUGCUGCCUUCAUGGCAUCAUUCCGUAAGCUAUAGAUGACUGGAUUGAGUGUUGGAGGUAUCACAGUAUAGAAUACGGAGAAUACAAGGUCCACAGUCGAUGAGGAAUCAGAAGGCAGUCUGAGAAACUCAAAGCCUGCAGCUGAAAGAAAGAAGGUGGCUACAAAUAGGUGUGGUAGGCAGGUGGAGAAGACCUUGGUCCGGCCCUCAGCUGAUGGGAUUCUCAGCACUGUAGAGAAGAUGCGAAUGUAGGAGAGCACAAUGGAGAUCAAACAGAUAAAUGCUGCAGACGUUGUGAAUGCAGCCAGUGCAAUCUCAUUAAUGAAUUCAUAAGAACAGGCUAGUUUCAGCAUCUGAGGAACAUCACAGAAGAAUUGGUGAAUGACUCUCUUCCCACAGAGAGGUAUGGAGAAGUUAAUGGCAGCAUGCAUGAGCCCAGAGAGGCCCCCAGCAAUCCACACAGCUAUCACCGCAUGCCUACAGGCACGGGGAUCCAUAAUAGUCUCAUAAUGAAGUGGUUGACAGAUUGCUGCGUACCUGUCAUAAGACAUCACUGUGAGAAUGGCCACUUCUGAUGAGGCCAGAGCUAUGAAGAAGAAAACCUGAAGAAUGCACUGAACAAGAGAAAUGUAACCGUUGCCCAUAAGUGAAUUUGCAAUGGACUGGGGGACUGUGACAGAGAUGAAGCAGAGGUCCAGAACAGAGAGGUGCUUUAAAAAGUAAUACAUGGGGGAAUGGAGACGACGGUCCACAGUAAUGAUGGUGAUAAUGAGGAGGUUGCCUGUCAAAGCCAGCAGGUAUGUCACCAGAAAUACCAAUGCAUGUAAAAUCUGAAGCUUACGCUCAUCAGAAAACCCCAUAAGAAGGAAUCCACUCAUUGAAGUCAAAUUGACCAUAGUCUCUCUGAAGAUACCAAGUGUGACUCUGUUUAGGAAGCCAAAGAACAGUAGGAAGAAAAUGCAUGACAUCUAAUAUAUUUGUGUGUCAAGUAACUCAAUUCCUCAGCAUGGAGGUACUGAAAUGAGAUGAAUUUAUUUUCAUUGUGAUUAGUUAAUAUUCAAUUCAAAAACGUUUUAGCAAUUAUUCAGAAAUAGAAUCCCUGAAUGUGAUCAACAAGUCAUAAACAUUUUCUGGAGCAGAGUUUGCAUUGUCAAAGAGGGAGAAAUUGAUGGAAAUGAUAAAGUCUUUACCUUCAAUAAAGUCAAUGAAAAUGAUUCUAGCAUACCAAUCUCAUUACAUCUUCUAUAUGAUGCCUUAGUAUUACAA
rnacentral:lncRNA from 1 species